UUGGAAUAACUGUACUUUACAGUAGGAGGUAGUACAGUCGCUGGGUGUUUUAUCUAACUUCGUGAUUGUUGACCAACGCCGCGAAGUUCUUGGUCGGUUGAUUUGAAGUCUCUGAUGCAGAAGAUGUCGACCAUUCCACUUGUCAGAUUAGACUUUUAUCUCCUCCGGGCUCAUUUGGUAACUUAUUUUUUCCGGCAAAUUAAAGGGGCUUUACUGGUUUGAAUGGCAGUGGCAACAAGAUUCAAAAGGUUUUCGAAGCACGAAUUCUAUGAGAGGCUGCUAGCUGAGCAGAAUUAACUCGUGACAAGCAAGUCCUGUGUUUCUAGGCAUAUGAACUACUAUUUUAGCUAUCGUCGACUCUUCUGAUAUAAUGGCUAGAUAGUUCUUGAAUUGAACCUAGCACAGAUUCCCAGUCUACAGAUUACCAGCAAGUUCAUUGCUUAGAAAUGGCGGAGGCAAUUUCUAAGCUUUUCAACGUUAUUUUCUAUGAUUGGAAUUGUAAAGAGUCAUGUUCAGAUGUGCGUAUUAUCCUUUUAUUUGUAAACUGAAAAUUUUCACCUGCAGUCGUCUGAAAUUUCUGGCAUUAAACUAAA